AACGAACGCUGGCGGCAGGCUUAACACAUGCAAGUCGAACGGUCUCUUCGGAGGCAGUGGCAGACGGGUGAGUAACGCGUGGGAACAUACCUUUCGGUACGGAACAACAGUUGGAAACGACUGCUAAUACCGUAUACGCCCUGAGGGGGAAAGAUUUAUCGCCGAGAGAUUGGCCCGCGUUGGAUUAGCUAGUUGGUGGGGUAAUGGCCUACCAAGGCGACGAUCCAUAGCUGGUCUGAGAGGAUGAUCAGCCACACUGGGACUGAGACACGGCCCAGACUCCUACGGGAGGCAGCAGUGGGGAAUAUUGGACAAUGGGCGCAAGCCUGAUCCAGCCAUGCCGCGUGAGUGAUGAAGGCCUUAGGGUUGUAAAGCUCUUU
rnacentral:rRNA from 1 species